GAGGUUUCCAGGGCAGGAGGGAGAGUGGUGGGAGAGGGGGCUAUGGUGGGAGAGGGGGCUAUAGUGGGGGGGCUAUGGAGACCCAUAUGGAGGAGGAGGAGGGGGAGGAGGAGGGGGAGGGUAUAGAAGGUACUAAGGACUGCACGUGUUAGAGCACUGCUAGAUACAACGUAGGAUAGUGUUCCGAGGAGCAUACUUAAACAUCACCCGGAGGUAGAUCAUGGUAGUGUCUCCGAGGAUGGCUGUCUUGAAUACAGAAGGCCAUUUUAUACCACCAGGUCACCCUGCAACAUGAUGUUUUCCAUAUUCUGUGUACUCAAGCAUGCUGUGUCUUUUUAAAAAGAAAAAAAAAACACCCAAAAACUAUUUUUAAAAAUGUAAAUAUUUAUUACCAGCAACUUGGAAAAUGGAAUGUAUUUUAUUGUCAUGAUUGAAUUUAGACUGGUAUUUUGUUCAGGGUUGAAACACACAAAUGACCCCGACCUGAAACAGAAAGGACUCUAGACUCAUGUUUCCUUUGUAUUCCUGUGGUCCUGUCCUAUAUUGUUAAUUCUAUUUUACAAAACAGAGAAAGUAUCUAAUAUUUGUGCUUAGUAGGCAGUUGUCAUUUUUUUUAAUAGGAUGAAAUUCCUGCCGUUAGGUUUUUAUUAAAUUUCUGUUAACUAAAUCCAAAGUCAUCUUUAUUUCACUAUGUAUACACGGCUUAUUUUCCAGUUGGAUAUGACACCUGUGUGAAUGACUGAAUCGUAAGACCCAGUGGUGGGUAACUACAGUGAAACAGUGUUCCCUGGGCACGGGCAGUUACACAUAUGAAUUCAUAGCAGUUGUGACGGCAUUCACAAGACUUAGCUAUGUAAGAUCAAGCCAGACAGAAUCCCAGCAUGGGGUAGGGGGAUGGUCCUGAAGUCCCACCCCCUAGCUGAGGAGCUGUUGGCAGUUUUCUUAAUGGAUGUGGGACAGACAUGAGACAUUGCCUACACUCCGGUAGAUGUCCUAAGCAUGCACAUGGACACAGGACUAAGUGGCCUCCCUUAAAGAAAACAAAAACAAGCACAUGAAGUUGAGAAGGGAAAGUAUGUGGUGUUGGGUGGGUGGGUGGAGGGGGGAGAUAGGAGAGGAAUUGUAGGGAGUAGAUUUAAUACAUGUGUAGAAUAAAAGAAUUGAGACCAAAAUUACUCUAAAGGAACAAAGAUACAUACUGAUUUUACUUGAUGCUGUGAAAAAAAAAACCUGUUCCUACUAAGUACCCUUGCUUUAGUUCUAAAAGGCAGGGUGUAUCACAGACCAUCAUCUCUAGCAUUAGUAUAUCAGAGGGUGUGUUAAGGUAUCCUUUGGGAAACACCAACUCAUUGGAACAGCCAAAGGCUUGCCGAUCAGGAGUUGUGAAUUUGCAUUCUUGGGGACAGUUCACCCACACCCCCAUCAACAGGGUCAGUUUUACUGUGAUGCCAAGGUGAGGACUGGGGCCUGCUCUCCCAAGUGCUGUAGCUGGUGAGGGUCUGGAUCAGGUUCCCUGCUUGCCACAGGUGGCAAGAGGGUGGGGGGGCAUUUUCUCACUCAUGCCACCUUAGUGGUAGUUGAGGGGCAGUGCUGUAAGCAUUAUAGCCCAGAUGGGAAAGUAUUCUGGCAAUCAGGAGCCACAGAAUAAUACCACAGGUCACAGUAAGCAUAACAGCUUAACAGCCCUGCUCCAGGGAAAGGCUUCCCUAGUGUAACAGCUCUGCUCUAGCAGGGGAGGGCUUCCCUAGUGAAGUUGUUACAGUUCAGCUCCAGGAGUUUCCAUUUUGCUAAGGAAAGUUUCCUAGGCGAAAGUGUUACAGUCCUGAUUGGCUCUGGCUCCUGAGACAAGUUGACAAACUGUUACUUUUCUCCUCUGUUCCAUUCCUGUAAAAGAAGGUCUCACCCAAAUCUCAUUCAAGAGAUUUAUUGGGAGGGAAGGGAGAAUGGCUGCCUCUGCCAGGGUGGAAGAAGACAGCAGCAAACUGAACAGACACACAAGGUUUAUAUAGGCAUGCCGGUCUCCUGCUCAGUGGUAAUGGCUGGUGUCAUCCACUUUUAAGCUCCCCUUUUUUCCAUGUCUUUGUCCAGCUUGUGGCACCUAUGAGCACCUAUGAACAUGAUCUUAUAGAACUGAAUUAAAUAACUGAACUUUCCUC
rnacentral:lncRNA from 1 species